AGAGGGUUACAAGAUGCGAUAUAGAUUUUUAUGGCGGACGUAAAUCUCGCGACGGAUGCAAGAAGCGACUAGGAAUCGUGAAAGGCGCGGCCAAUUCCCUAAUGAUUCUGAUUUAUCGCCUCUGGUUUGUUCCGGUAAGCCGUUAACUCCAUGACGCGUACCUGGUGUCCCGGAGGAUCUACGUACGACACACGAAUACAGGUAUAUCAUACACGUCUAUAAGAUCAGUUCCGCGGACAUAAAAUCCUUCGCUUUCUUACAUCGGCCUACUCAUUUGCUUGGAGUUACGCGAAAUAAAGUUAAUGGCCAGUUAAGAGCGAAUAUUAACGUACCGAGAUAAAGUAAAAGGUAUGACUUACGAUCGUUCAACAAAAUCCUUGAGAAAAUUGGAAUCUUUUGAGGUAAGGACUUAACAUCUUUAUGUCCUUUAAUUAGCAGCUUUUUCGAGCUAGACUCAAGUCUCAUGGUUGAUACCUAGAAAAUGUAAAAGUUACGAAAUUAGAAUAAUUUGACCUGGUUUCCUUAAAUAUCCGUUACGAAGAAUGAGUCGGCAAUGUAAAAUCGAGGACGUUUCGAGCGAACGGAUCCCACGGGAUCUCCACGAAGGAGAACCCUGUUGGUAUCAGGUAUCGGGACAAGAGCGACAAUGCGUCGGAGAUUUUAUCUUAAAGUUUAGGGCGUGAAUCUUUUAGUCGUGCCAACGAUAGUCCUCGAGAUAUUAGCAGAUACUCGAGAUACGUUUGAUCCUUUUAAUAUGAUCUCGUCCAACUGUCGUUAAAUGAAAAUAUUAAAUCUUUUCAACGUUGAAAAGACGUUUACGAGCUAUAAACUUAUCGAUAUCUUGAUAGUAUUCCUAAUCCAUGUUUUGCUAUUCAUUUGAUCACUUCUCUUAGAUUUCAUACUUCACGCAUAACGGAUUAUUUAUUGAAAUAGAUAAUUCAUCCUACGCGUCUAAGUAAACGCAUAAUGAGACGCUCAAAAGUGAUGCUUUAAAUAGUCGAAGAAAAGAAUGCCAAUCUCGAAAAGCUUUUGACGAUAGGAUUUCUUUGGAAUUUCUUGCAUUUGCUUUUGUUACAACGUAACGGUUGAUCAUUGUUCCAUUGAAUAUGCGAGAUAAUGAGUUGAGUCGCAUGACCUGCCAGGUGUGCAAACUGGAACGAUACUUUUCUCUAUUCUCUCGGAUAGAAAUCUCGAUUGAAUCGGAAUUCUCAGAAUAGACUUUAAAUGGGUAAUAUUGAAUGUUGAAAAGACGAACAAAUUCGACGUAAUGAUAAAAGAGGAGGAGGAAGGAUGGUACGACGAGAUCUUUUUUCUCACAACGAGAGGGAAAACGAGAACCCGGAGAACCUCGCAAUCUAGUUAUUGUAAGUCGAACGUACGAAAGGAAAACGAAGACAAGCCGAUUGUCCACUUUAAUUCGUCCGUGAAAAAUUGUCUAAUUGUCUAUUUUUCAGCGUGAAAUUCGCCAGUCUUAGGUCGCACUUAGAAAUUCAAAUUUAUCGAGAAACUGGGAAACCACGUGAAACCGGUCGCCAUUGUAAGUACGUAUGUCUUUCUUCGCAUUGCAACGAGGACGACGAGGACGACGAGGACGAGAGUAAAGUGAAUAAUGAAACUUAGGUGACAAUGUGGGUUCUUCGUUGACGAAGAGUAACGAAGCUGUGCCAACGAAAUUUCUCGAUGGAAUAAUGCGAAAUUUCACUCUUGGCUUUUACAUGUGUAUUUUACAUGGUACAUACGUAUGUAUAUCCAUUAUUGAAUCUGAAAGUCAAUGGCCUGGUGUAAAACACGUAACAAAGAAGAGCCUACAUAUUUAGAAUCGAAUCAAUACAAUCUUUUUUUUUUCACGAUAUUCUAGUGAUUAUUUUUUCAAGAAAUUAAAACGAUGAUUGGCCAACAUAAAUAUUGAUAAAUAAUCGAAUAUCGUGCACGAUAGAGAGAGAGAGAGAGAGAGAGAGAGAGAAGACGUUCCUCUUACAGAUAAAAUAUGUUUGUGCUUUUGUUUCUUGUAAAAUAAAAUAUGUACUUCUGGUAUAUCGUA